CCUACGGGUGGCAGCAGUGAGGAAUAUUGGUCAAUGGACGGAAGUCUGAACCAGCCAUGCCGCGUGCAGGAAGACGGCUCUAUGAGUUGUAAACUGCUUUUGUACAAGGGUAAACCUGAAUACGUGUAUUCAGCUGAAAGUACUGUACGAAUAAGGAUCGGCUAACUCCGUGCCAGCAGCCGCGGUAAUACGGAGGAUCCAAGCGUUAUCCGGAUUUAUUGGGUUUAAAGGGUGCGUAGGCGGAUUGAUAAGUUAGAGGUGAAAUGUCCGAGCUUAACUCGGGAACUGCCUCUAAUACUGGGGAUCUAGAGAGUAGGAGAGGUAGGCGGAAUGUAUGGUGUAGCGGUGAAAUGCUUAGAGAUCAUACAGAACACCGAUUGCGAAGGCAGCUUACCGGUCUAUAUCUGACGUUGAGGCACGAAAGCGUGGGGAGCAAACAGGAUUAGAUACCCUAGUAGUC
rnacentral:rRNA from 1 species